rnacentral:rRNA from 1 species
UACGGGGGGGGCAAGCGUUGUUCGGAAUUACUGGGCGUAAAGGGCGCGUAGGCGGCCUGCUAAGUCGGAUGUGAAAUCCCUCGGCUCAACCGAGGAACUGCAUCCGAUACUGGCGGGCUUGAAUCCGGGAGAGGGAUGUGGAAUUCCAGGUGUAGCGGUGAAAUGCGUAGAUAUCGAGAGGAACACCGGUGGCGAAAGCGGCCUUCUGGACGAGGACUGACGCUGAGAUGCGAAAGCGUGGGGAGCAAACAGG